CAGUCGCCGCGGGAAUACGUAGGGUGCGAGCGUUAAUCGGAAUUACUGGGCGUAAAGCGUGCGCAGGCGGUUGUGUAAGACAGGUGUGAAAUCCCCGGGCUUAACCUGGAACUGCGCUUGUGACUGCACAGCUAGAGUAUGGCAGAGGGGGGUGGAAUUCCACGUGUAGCAGUGAAAUGCGUAAAGAUGUGGAGGAACACCGAUGGCGAAGGCAGCCCCCUGGGCCAAUACUGACGCUCAUGCACGAAAGCGUGGGGAGCGAACAGGAUUAGAUACCCGCGUAGUCCCUGUCUCUUAUACA
rnacentral:rRNA from 1 species